rnacentral:tRNA from 1 species
GCCUCGAAAGUUCGGUUGGGAGAGCGUUAGACUGAAGAUCAAGAUGAUUUACUCACGGUAGAGACACGGCUUUGUGCACGGUGUGACUAUGGAGACCUACUCAAUGUUUGUCUCGGUAUCUGCAAAUGUCGCAAUAUNGUCACCAGUUCGAUCCUGGUUCGGGGCA